GGAAGGUUGCCUGAGCGGACGAAAGGGACGGUCUCGAACACCGUUGAUGCGGCAACGUAUCCAUGGGUUCAAAUCCCAUACCUUCCGCCA
rnacentral:tRNA from 2 species